CCUACGGGAGGCUGCAGUGAGGAAUAUUGGUCAAUGGGCGCUAGCCUGAACCAGCCAAGUAGCGUGAAGGAUGACUGCCCUAUGGGUUGUAAACUUCUUUUAUAUGGGAAUAAAGUGCAGUAUGUAUACUGCUUUGCAUGUACCUUAUGAAUAAGGAUCGGCUAACUCCGUGCCAGCAGCCGCGGUAAUACGGAGGAUCCGAGCGUUAUCCGGAUUUAUUGGGUUUAAGGGGAGCGUAGGCGGGUUGUUAAGUCAGUUGUGAAAGUUUGCGGCUCAACCGUAAAAUUGCAGUUGAUACUGGCAGCCUUGAGUACAGUAGAGGUAGGCGGAAUUCGUGGUGUAGCGGUGAAAUGCUUAGAUAUCACGAAGAACUCCGAUUGCGAAGGCAGCCUGCUGGACUGUAACUGACGCUGAUGCUCGAAAGUGUGGGUAUCAAACAGGAUUAGAUACCCCUGUAGUC
rnacentral:rRNA from 1 species